GACGAACGCUGGCGGCGUGCUUAACACAUGCAAGUCGAACGGAAAGGCCCUGCUUUUGUGGGGUGCUCGAGUGGCGAACGGGUGAGUAACACGUGAGUAACCUGCCCUUGACUUUGGGAUAACUUCAGGAAACUGGGGCUAAUACCGGAUAGGAGCUCCUGCUGCAUGGUGGGGGUUGGAAAGUUUCGGCGGUUGGGGAUGGACUCGCGGCUUAUCAGCUUGUUGGUGGGGUAGUGGCUUACCAAGGCUUUGACGGGUAGCCGGCCUGAGAGGGUGACCGGCCACAUUGGGACUGAGAUACGGCCCAGACUCCUACGGGAGGCAGCAGUGGGGAAUAUUGCACAAUGGGCGGAAGCCUGAUGCAGCAACGCCGCGUGCGGGAUGACGGCCUUCGGGUUGUAAACCGCUUUCGCCUGUGACGAAGCGUGAGUGACGGUAAUGGGUAAAGAAGCACCGGCUAACUACGUGCCAGCAGCCGCGGUGAUACGUAGGGUGCGAGCGUUGUCCGGAUUUAUUGGGCGUAAAGGGCUCGUAGGUGGUUGAUCGCGUCGGAAGUGUAAUCUUGGGGCUUAACCCUGAGCGUGCUUUCGAUACGGGUUGACUUGAGGAAGGUAGGGGAGAAUGGAAUUCCUGGUGGAGCGGUGGAAUGCGCAGAUAUCAGGAGGAACACCAGUGGCGAAGGCGGUUCUCUGGGCCUUUCCUGACGCUGAGGAGCGAAAGCGUGGGGAGCGAACAGGCUUAGAUACCCUGGUAGUCCACGCUGUAAACGGUGGGUACUAGGUGUGGGGUCCAUUCCACGGGUUCCGUGCCGUAGCUAACGCUUUAAGUACCCCGCCUGGGGAGUACGGCCGCAAGGCUAAAACUCAAAGGAAUUGACGGGGCCCCGCACAAGCGGCGGAGCAUGCGGAUUAAUUCGAUGCAACGCGUAGAACCUUACCUGGGUUUGACAUGGAUCGGGAGUGCUCAGAGAUGGGUGUGCCUCUUUUGGGGUCGGUUCACAGGUGGUGCAUGCCUGUCGUCAGCUCGUGUCGUGAGAUGUUGGGUUAAGUCCCGCAACGAGCGCAACCCUUGUUCACUGUUGCCAGCACGUUAUGGUGGGGACUCAGUGGAGACCGCCGGGGUCAACUCGGAGGAAGGUGGGGAUGACGUCAAGUCAUCAUGCCCCUUAUGUCCAGGGCUUCACGCAUGCUACAAUGGCUGGUACAGAGAGUGGCGAGCCUGCGAGGGUGAGCGAAUCUCGGAAAGCCGGUCUCAGUUCGGAUUGGGGUCUGCAACUCGACCUCAUGAAGUCGGAGUCGCUAGUAAUCGCAGAUCAGCAACGCUGCGGUGAAUACGUUCCCGGGGC
rnacentral:rRNA from 1 species